AUUGAACGCUGGCGGCAGGCCUAACACAUGCAAGUCGAGCGGAUGAGUGGAGCUUGCUCCAUGAUUCAGCGGCGGACGGGUGAGUAAUGCCUAGGAAUCUGCCUGGUAGUGGGGGACAACGUUUCGAAAGGAACGCUAAUACCGCAUACGUCCUACGGGAGAAAGUGGGGGAUCUUCGGACCUCACGCUAUCAGAUGAGCCUAGGUCGGAUUAGCUAGUUGGUGAGGUAAAGACUCACCAAGGCGACGAUCCGUAACUGGUCUGAGAGGAUGAUCAGUCACACUGGAACUGAGACACGGUCCAGACUCCUACGGGAGGCAGCAGUGGGGAAUAUUUGACAAUGGGCGAGAGCCUGAUCCAGCCAUGCCGCGUGUGUGAAGAAGGUCUUCGGAUUGUAAAGCACUUUAAGUUGGGAGGAAAGGCAGUAAGUUAAUACCUUGCUGUUUUGGCGUUACCAACAGAAUAAGCACCGGCUAACUUCGUGCCAGCCGCCGCUGUAACAC
rnacentral:rRNA from 1 species